rnacentral:lncRNA from 1 species
CCCCCUCCCCCACGUAUAAAUCUGUCUAAAAUAGCCCCCCUCCCUCUCAAAAACUCCUUCCAUUCAUCUUCUCUACGCUUGGAGAACCAGAAUCUAGCACCGUCCUCAUAGCCUUUUUGCUAUCUCCGUCAUCAGCGGCCCCUCAAAAUGCCACCAAACAGACUCAAAUCCCUCUUCCAUUACCCCUAAGCCCCGCUGAAUAUGAAGACAACACGAUUUUCCCCAGAAUUCCCACCUUUUCUCUUCAAUUCCAAACUUGAAAAUUCAAAAAAAAACCUAAGUCGUCCCUAACGCUGAUUUUCAUAUUUCCAAGGCUCGAUUUGACUCAAGACUUACGUUAGUUGAUUGUUCUCGCUCAGAAUAAUUGAUUAAUGGUAGGUUAGGCUCAUCCGAGAAUGACAAGUCUUUAACCGGCCGACCAAGUUUGUCACCUUCAUCGAUUUAUUCAGGUUAAAACCAGUACCAUUCCUUCUUCUUUUCCUUUUUUCUUGUGUCCGUCUUUCUAAUUCUCGUUUGAUUGGUGUGAAUUAAUUUUAGUUUGUUUAAAAUCAAUAUUUCUAACUAUUUGAAUGCCUGAUUAGGAUUAAAUGUUUCAUCAUAAUUUUUCCGUUUGAUUUUUAUUUUGGUCGGAUUUAUUUUGGGUUAGUCGUUAAUUUCUAACUAAUGCUUAGCUUAUUAAGGGUUUGUCAGAAUUAUUUUCAUUUAUUACAGCUCCAUUAUUCUUUGUUCUAUUCCUUCAAUUCACCCUUAGUGUAAUCUGGGUCUGAGCUUGAGCUUCAAAUGCUCAAUUGGUUGAUUUAAGUUUAGGUUGUGAGCUUUUUUUUUUUGGUCAGCACUGACCCGUUUCAAGAAAUCAGUUCAUUUUGGUUUGGGUUUUGGGUAAACUUGACCUAUGUGAAUGGACAUAAUAGAGUGUAGAGGGUUAAUUUGGGUAUUUUGAAACUAAAGAAAUAUUUUUUUGUUAGCAUAGAAGCUUCUAUAGGAUAAGGUUUGGCUGGUUGGUUAAGGGAAGAGAAUUUUCAGAUAUUUUGAAGGGUUAAAUGUGGUAAAAUAACCAUAAAUUGGAAGGUCAAAAGAGGAAAUAGUUAGGGCUGCCUUAGGCUACCUAUAUAAAGACUUCGUUGACUCAUUUCAGAGGUAGCCUUGGAUAUUCUAAAAAAUACAACAGGUUUUUUUUCUGCAUCAUUUCAACUUAAAUUGCUGAAAAUUUCUCUCUAGGUUUAUUGCUAGGAAUAGGUUAAAACAUUCAAAAGAAUUUCUGGUUCAUCUUGGUUCGAAAAUGGUCAAGAAGAAUUGAGAAAUAUUGUUAAUGUGUUGAGCUGUUGUUACUGCUUGAAGUUCUCACUCAUUUGCUUUUGUUUUAGUUUCUAGGUAUGUCAUGGCUCUUGAGUAACGUAUGAGGUGCAAAUGUGAAACCAUGUAAUUAAGUUGAAGAUUUAAUGACAAUUGCUAGUUUUUCGGUGAAUAGCUGUUUGAGCCCUUUACAAUUUGUUUAUGCUUCUAUUAAAUUAUCUUUACUAUAUAUAUUUCCUUCAUAUUACAUUUCAUCAUAAGGUUGGAUUUGGGGUGUUAGUUUGUCGUGUUGGAUGUAUUUGCAGGAAGAAAACCUCCUGUUGAGUUGUUCUUUUACAAGUAUCCAGUUUAAGAUUUGUUCAUGCUUAGGAUAAUACGCAUAAAUGGAGGAAUAUGAAUUCUAUUAGUUUGAUCUGUGAGUUUUUGCGGGAUUUUUUUCUGAAAAUGCUGCCUAUGGUUAUGGUUGAAUACUCAUCCAACUAGCUCAUUCAUUUUGUUUCUUUUAGCAAAUCUAAUUUAAGCUUUGUUUCUCCUUUCAAUCAGCCUACUGUUGCGUUAGUUUACCCUUUAUCGCCUGUAAAAUGGCUCGGCUAUUUAGCACUACCUCACUCAUGUUCAAGCAACUUGAGUUUGUAAAUUUCUUUCGAUUUGAUUUUUAGUUUAAUUUCAGGUCUAAAGGCGUUCAAAUUUAGCCUGUUGUUCACAUCUUGUUGCCUUUGACAUGAUUCAAAAAUUGGAAUGUUUGUUCAAAUGCUGGCCAAGUUGAACUUGGCAAGGGCUAUAAUGCUUGUCUUCUAUUUUCGGGCUUAGUCUAUUGCCCAAGUCUCUUCCCCUGUGUUAUUAGUACUGGGAAAGUAUAUGCUGCUUGAUUAAUUGCUUAAUUGGGCCUAAACUUGAAGUCUCUUGAAAAGAAGCUAUCUGUUGGAUUGUUGUUGGGUUUGAAGUGAACUUUCUCCUUGAUCAUUUGUUGGGUCUAAGAAUAAGCCCAAACAGGUUGAUUAUUUAAACGUUUAGGUAUCUCCUUUGUUAUCAAUUGUCAAAUUAUCCUAACCUAUCGGCUUAACUAAGUGGAUCGAGGUGUGUCAUAUCAACAAACGUAUAAUUUAUGGCCCUUGUAAGAUUAGUCAUGGCAUAUAUUUGAGGCGUGCCAUAAGCAAAUUAAAUCUUCUAUGGCCCUUACAAAUGUACAAUGUAGAUAUUAAAAAUGAACUGAGGAGUUUGCUUUAGGUGCAUUUAUUAUAUAAUUAUCACAAUUAUUACUAAAACUUGGGGCUACAUUUCAUGUGGCCCGAUUCCAAUUUCCAAGAAGGUUAAAUAGAAAGUAUCGUGAACCACGAGUGUAUUUAUGUAGCGUGGCUUGCGAUAUGUUUUAAAUAACCUUAAAUUAAUUCUUUAAAUAAAUAAAAGCGGUAUAAACAUUGAAAAAUGCACAUAGGUUUGAAAGUGUUCUAAAUAGAUAAAUAGGCCAAUAAUAACAGUUGAGCGAUUGUGCUAGAACCACGGAUCCCAGGAAUGCCUAACACCUUCUCUCGGGUUAACAGAAUACUCACCCGAAUUUCUAUGUUCGCAGACUUUAACACAGAGUCAAUUUCCUCGAUUCGAAAUUUAAAACAGGUUGCUUGGGACACCGUAAAUUAUUUCAAGUGGCAACUUUGAACAAUAAAUAAGUAAUCUCGUUUAUAUUGUCACUUAAAUUUAAUAAAACUCCCUUAUAUACCCUUCUGGUGGUGUGGAAAAGGAGGUAUGACACUUAUAACCUCAAAAAUAAUCUUGUCCUUGAAUUUAUGUCAAUUAACUUACGACAAAUCCAAUGUACAAAAGUACAAGAUAUAAUUAUUCCUAGAUUGACUUUUAUCCGAUGAUCCAAUACCCUUCCACUCGACACAAUCGUAUCUCUAAAGUCAAGGAUUCGAACCUUUUCAUACUGGUACCAAAAAGUGAUGCCUCAUCACGUGGUUAUAUUCCAUAGGCCUGCCUACUUUAUGUGAUGACCCGACAGGUCGUUUUAUGAAUUAAUGUCCCGAUCCCCUAUUAAUUGCUUCCCAUAAGUUCAUUUCUGCUAUUUUAGUUUGUCGGCACGUUUAGUAUUGAGUUUUGGAGAGUUUUUGGCAGACUUAGUCCCUAAAUGAUACCUUAGGUGUAGAAAAGUGGUCCAUAGUCAGAAAAAUGUGCAAACGACCUUGGAAUGGAAAUUUGAUGGUUCUGUUAGCUCUGUUAAGUGAUUUCAGAGUUGGAAGCGUGUUCGGAAUGUGUUUUGGAAGUCUGUAGCUCAUUUAGGCUUGAAAUGCCGAAGAUUGAAUUUUUAAAGUUUCCUGUCCAAUACAGAGUUUUUGAUCCGAGGCUCGAAAUGGAAUUCCGGAAGUUGUAAUAGCCCCGUCAUGUCAUUUGGGAUGUGUGUGCAAAGUUUUAGGUCAUUCGGACGUAUUGUGGAUAUGUUUUUGAUCGAAAGCAUGUUUCGAUAAAUUUGAAGUUCUUAGGCUCUAAUCCUUGAUUAGUUUGAGUUUCUGGCGUUGUUUUAGGUGGUUUAAGUAUUGGUGCAAGUUUGAAUGAUAUUAUUGGAUAUGUCCGUAAGUUUGGUUGAGGUCUCGGGGGCCUCAGGUGUGUUUCGGAUGCUUAGCGGGUUAUUUUCUCUUAUUUUUUAACUGCUCCUUCUACUUCUGGUAUCCCUUCUUCGCAUUCGCAAGCCUUCCCUUCGCAUUCGUGAAGGCUUAUCUUGACCACCUGGGAAUUUCCUCUUCGCGAUCACAUAACUCUUCCCGCCUUCACAAAGCCCAGCUUACUUCCUCUUUGCGAUCGCAUAAACUACCUCGCGUUCGCGUACCUGUGCUAAGUCUGGUCAUCGCGUUCGCGUAGAACAACUUCUGGAUCUCAACAUUUUCCUUCAUCGUGUCUGCGUUCUAGAUGCCGCAUUCGCGUAGCUUCGUGAUCGCAGGCCUUUGCAUUCUACCCCUCGCGAUCGCGAAGGGCAUUUUUGACACCUUCUAUUUUUCUUCUCCGUGAACGCGAUCUCAUCCCCGCGAUCGCUGAAGUAUUAAAUUUCUGGGCAGUAUUAAGUCAUUCAAAAAUGAGGUUUAGCUAUUUUUAUCAAAAUACAAGCUUGGGAGCUCAGAUUUGGGAGAAAGUUCGAAGGUUUUUCGAGAGACACGAUUGGGUAAUGAUUCUAAACUCCUUUUUGCUUAAAACCUGCUAAUCUAAUCACGAAUUUCUCUUCUAAUUUCGGAUAUUUGAAUGAAAAAUGGGUAAUACUUCAUAGACCAAAUUUUUGAGUUUUGAAUGGGUGUUUGACCUCCGAUUUGAGAGAUUUAUAUAUAGGUAGACUCGUGAGAGUAUGAGAAAAUGCUAAGUUCCACCGAUUCCGAGACAUUGUGCUAAGGAGCAUUUUGAUCAUUUUACCAAAUUUCGCGUCUUAGAUUUGACUUAAUUAGUAGAACUAUUUGCUUGAGAUGUUAUUUAUGAUAUGUAACUGAAUUGAAUAGAUUUGGACCAUUUGGAGUCAGAUACUUGUGGCAAAAGUGUGAUUUCGAGUUAAUUUUGGAGCCCAUUCGAAGUAGGUGUCUUGUCUAACCUUGUAUGUGGGACCUUCCCCUUAGGAAAUAUUAUUUGGUGAUUGACAUGCCUUGUACGUGAGGUGACCAGCGCGUACUUGAGCUAUUUCUUGAUAAUUUAAUUUUACCUUAAAUGUUUGGACUGAGUUUUCCUUCCUACCUGCUUUAUUCUACUUGCAAUUAUGCUCUAUGUUAGUUUAGAAAAGCAUGCUUAGCUGACCUAAAUUGCCUAUUUGCUUAAGUUUCUUUGAUGGUACUACGUGAAGUAUUUUAAGCUAGAACUACAUGUUACCUUGUAUUUUUGCACUCUAUUUCUGGAUAUCUUCUUGUUGUGACUGCGUAUUCUCAUUGAGAGUACGGAUGUCAGAUGCAGGUAGCUCUCCCCCUUGUUUGUUUACUUUGGGACUGCGAGUUUGAUUCCCGAUAGGACCCCCUAUACAUUUACUUUAGGUCUGCGGGUUAGAUUCUCGAUAGAUCCCCUCUGCAUAUUUACUUUGGGACUUCGGGUUAGAUUCCCGAUAGAUCCCCUGCACAUUGAUAGGUUGACUACGGAAUGGUAUCCCGGGCGAUCCUUCAAAUAUACACAUGUGAGAGACUACGGGAUGGUAUCCUGGGAGAUCCACUGGACAGUUGAAAAAAGGACUACAGGACGGUAUCCUGGGAGAUCCUCGUUGUUACCAUUGGUAUUGAGCUGUACAUUUUCAUUUUUACUCCGUUCUUUGUGUAUUUGUUAUUGCCUUGUUUAGCCUGUCUUAUUUCACUGAUGUAUUCAUUAUUACUGCCUUUUUUGAUAUCGUUAAUUCAUAUUAUAUUGUUUAACCUCAGCAGGGCCCUGACCUUCCUCGUCACUACCCGACCGAGGUUAGGCUUGGCACUUGCUGAGUACCGCUGUGGUGUACCCAUGCCUCUUCUGCACAUAUUUUUCAUGUGCAGAUCUAGAUACUCUUCUCAGGCAAAUCAUCCUUGAGGGAGGCGACUACUCAGAGACAUCAAGGUAUACAUGCCCCGUCUGCAGGCCGAGGAGUCCCUUUUCAUUCCUACUUUAUGUUAUUUUAGCUCUUCUGUAAUUUCAAAUCUUGAUAGACGAAUUCCCAUGUUAGAGCUAUGUAGUGUUUCUUGUCUUAGCUUGUGAUUCGUGGGUUUCCGGGUUUUGGGGUGUUAUUAUAGACUUCCGCGUUAUUGAGUCGUAUAUGUCGGGCGGCAUUUAUCUAUACGGUUUUUCUUCUAGUUGUUCAGUUUUAAAUGUUUAUUUCCUCAAGUUAUGUUGUUUUACGCAUUGUUAGGCUUACCUAGUAGUAGGGACUAGGUACUAUUGCGACAUGUUCAUGGAGGACGAACUGGGGUCAUGACACUUUGGAUGGUAGGAACGAAAGAGGG